AGGAUGACACAGUGGCUUCUAUUAGGAUGGUCUAACAACGUGCCAGCAGACGCGGUUAGACGUUGCAUCCAAGUGUAUUAAAAAAGCAAAAAGGGUGUUGAGGCGGAGGAAGAAAAGAUAGUUGUAAUUUUUUUGUAAAGAUAAAAUUUAAUUAUAAAAAAAGGUGGGCUUGAGGUGAAGGCGAAUUAUUAUUCAUUCUAAUGUUUGAACACGAAAGUAAGGGGAAUUAACGGGAUUAGAUACCCCGGUAGUCUUUACUGUAAACUAGGAUAGAUUCGUAAAGCUAAACAAAAAAUAAAAAUGCUUAAUCAAAAUAAAAUUUUAUUUUGAUUAAUUAAACAAAAAAAUAAAAUUAAUUUUUAUUUUUUUUGAUUAAUUAUAUAAUUUUAUUUAAAAAUACUAUAUGAAUUGGGUUCCGCUUGAAGAGUACGGCCGCAAGGCUGAAAUUUAAUGGAUUUGGCGGUUCAUGGGAAAUUAGAGGAGCGUGUAGUUUAAUUCGAUAGUGCCCGGGAAUCUUACCUUCAUUAAGUGGUAUUGCAUGGCCGUUAUAAGUUUUUAUUGAAAGAUAAAGGCGGUACCUCAUGUGGGGGAGAAGACAGGUCAUUAUGGUCUUGAUAUGGGGGGAUGUAUGCGCUACAUUUUUAUAGAGAUAUAAGUGCGGAAAAUGUGUUGAAAGGCAGUUGGAAGUAGGAUUUAAUAGUAAUUGGGUGUAGAGGGGCCCUGUGAAUGUUUUCAUAUGUUCGUACAAAUUGCCCGUCAAUUUCUUGAAAGGAGGAAUAAGUCGUAACAAAGUAAGGGUACUGGAAAGUGUUCUUGGAUAA
rnacentral:rRNA from 1 species